AUGAUAGAUGGAAAAACAGAUAUGUUACACAUAAACAAAUGACAAUCACUGAAUUAUAGGCUUCUGAUUUGGAACAGGUGUAAAGCAAAAUUAUAUCUGGGUGAAAUUUGAUCCAGAGGAAAAAAUGUCACAGUAGUUGUUGUUAUUUUUUUAUCCGGAGGAGAAUAUUUUCCUGGGAUAUUUUUUCCUUUGCCGUGAAAUUCUAUCUGAGUAGUUAACCUAUUGAAUAGUCCUUAGCAAAAACUUAUCCUUUACAAACACUAUGAAAUAAUAAAAGUGUAUUUGAAUUAAACCUCUAUUGUAAACUAAAAUGUAUUAUAAUGGGAUUCAUUUCACAAAUUAUCAUUGAAAAAAAAUCCUGAAAUAUUCAAGUAAAUAUCAUUCUUUUAAAAAGAAAAUUAUCAUUAAACCAUAGAUGGGUAUUACAUCUAUGAUUAAACAUAAGAAAGAAAACCAGAAAUAAUUUCAAAGAUCGUAAUUGUGAAAUAAUAUCAUGAUUAAAUAAGGUGUAGGGCAAGAACAUUAAAGAUAAAGGGAAACUACAAACAGAAGAAGUUAUCAACAAAAAUAGAUUUACAGAGGUCAACAAGUCUAAAUGGUCAGACAUCUUGAUUUUCAUGGUCAUCAUUCAACAGAUCAAUACUGAACAGAAAACUUAAAGUUGAUAUUUUUCUCCAUAGUGCGACUUUUUUUAUGAAUUUGAAAUGGAACAUGUUUUUUCCUUCAUUUAUAAGAAAGAGGAAAUUUCAACAUAACGACUAAACAAAAAGAUUGAGUCAUAUCAUCACAAUCAUAGUCUAGAUGCACAAGAACUUGAUCACGGAAAUGCAACAAUGUACGGAAUUAUCAAUUGGAAGAAGGACUGAAUGAAAAAAAUUUAAGUUUGUUGUUGUCCAAAUAAACUUGCUUUUCAUUUGAAUUGCUCCAUCCAAUAAAGAUGUAUAGAGAAAGAUCUUUGAAGAACAGAUUGAAAAAAUGUUUUGUCUAAGAAUUGCAGGAAUAUUCUGGUGGAUGAAAUAGUUUUACUGUUUAUUGACUUAAUUCUUAUGUAGCAUGUAUAGUGGACUGAAUAAUUGUACAUAGCAAGCAAUGAAAAAAGAAAACUACAACUUUAACAGAAAAAGUGUUUGUAUUAUAAAUUUGCAAAUAUACCCAUAAUAUUAUGUAUAAGGUAUAUAAUUCAAAUUGUUUGCAUAUUCAUGUAUUGCAAUGAAACUAUACAUGCUAUAACAAAGAAAAGUUC